rnacentral:rRNA from 1 species
GCGCACCAGGCGCGAAACUUUACAAUGUGCGAAAGCACGAUAAGGGAACUCUGAGUGCCUCCUAAGGAGGCUGUUCAGGUGUCUAAAAGCACCUGAAGGAAGGGCUGGGUAAGACCGGUGCCAGCCGCCGCGGUAACACCGGCAGCCCAAGUGGUAGCCACGUUUAUUGGGUCUAAAGCGUCCGUAGCCGGCUGGGUAAGUUCCUUGGGAAAUUUGGCUGCUUAACAGUCAAGCUUUCAGGGAAUACUGCCCGGCUUGGGACCGGGAGAGGUCAGAGGUACUCCAGGGGUAGGGGUGAAAUCCAUUAAUCCUUGGGGGACCACCGGUAGCGAAGGCGUCUGACCAGACCGGGUCCGACGGUGAGGGACGAAGGCUAGGGGCGCGAACCGGAUUAGAUACCCCUGUAGU